GUCCUUUUGAUUUUAAUUUAAGGUCUAGCCUGCCCACUGAAAUUAUUUGAAGGGCCGCAGUAAUUUGACUGUGCAAAGGUAGCAUAAUCAUUAGUUUUUUAAUUGAAAGCUUGUAUGAAGGGUUGUACGAAGUAAAUUCUGUCUCUAUUUAAUUUAUUUUAUAAUUUAAUUUUUAAGUUAAAAAGCUUAAAUUUAUUUAAAAGACGAGAAGACCCUAUAGAUCUUUAUAUUAAAAUUAUUAAUUUUAAUUAAGAAUAUUUAAUUUUUUAAUAUUUUUAAUAUUUUAUUGGGGUAAUAAAAAGAUUUAUUUAAUUCUUUUUUUAUUUAAACAUUAAUAAAUGAACAUACGAUCCAAUUUUAUUGAUUAAAAGAUUAAGUUACCUUAGGGAUAACAGCGUAAUUUUUUUAGAGAGUUCAUAUCGAUAAAAAAGUUUGCGACCUCGAUGUUGGAUUAAAAAUUAUCUUAGGUGCAGAAGUUUAAG
rnacentral:rRNA from 1 species